rnacentral:rRNA from 1 species
UACGGAGGGUGCAAGCGUUAUCCGGAUUCACUGGGUUUAAAGGGUGCGUAGGUGGGCUGGUAAGUCAGUGGUGAAAUCUCCAGGCUUAACUUGGAAACUGCCAUUGAUACUAUCAGUCUUGAGUACCGUGGAGGUCAGCGGAAUAUGUCAUGUAGCGGUGAAAUGCUUAGAUAUGACAUAGAACACCAAUUGCGAAGGCAGCUGGCUACACGAAUAUUGACACUGAUGCACGAAAGCGUGGGGAUCAAACAGG